rnacentral:rRNA from 1 species
GAUCUUAGCGGCGGANGGGUGAGUAAUGCUUAGGAAUCUGCCUAUUAGUGGGGGACAACAUUUCGAAAGGAAUGCUAAUACCGCAUACGUCCUACGGGAGAAAGCAGGGGAUCUUCGGACCUUGCGCUAAUAGAUGAGCCUAAGUCGGAUUAGCUAGUUGGUGGGGUAAAGGCCUACCAAGGCGACGAUCUGUAGCGGGUCUGAGAGGAUGAUCCGCCACACUGGGACUGAGACACGGCCCAGACUCCUACGGGAGGCAGCAGUGGGGAAUAUUGGACAAUGGGCGCAAGCCUGAUCCAGCCAUGCCGCGUGUGUGAAGAAGGCCUUAUGGUUGUAAAGCACUUUAAGCGAGGAGGAGGCUACUUUAGUUAAUACCUAGAGAUAGUGGACGUUACUCGCAGAAUAAGCACCGGCUAACUCUGUGCCAGCAGCCGCGGUAAUACAGAGGGUGCAAGCGUUAAUCGGAUUUACUGGGCGUAAAGCGCGCGUAGGCGGCUAAUUAAGUCAAAUGUGAAAUCCCCGAGCUUAACUUGGGAAUUGCAUUCGAUACUGGUUAGCUAGAGUGUGGGAGAGGAUGGUAGAAUUCCAGGUGUAGCGGUGAAAUGCGUAGAGAUCUGGAGGAAUACCGAUGGCGAAGGCAGCCAUCUGGCCUAACACUGACGCUGAGGUGCGAAAGCAUGGGGAGCAAACAGGAUUAGAUACCCUGGUAGUCCAUGCCGUAAACGAUGUCUACUAGCCGUUGGGGCCUUUGAGGCUUUAGUGGCGCAGCUAACGCGAUAAGUAGACCGCCUGGGGAGUACGGUCGCAAGACUAAAACUCAAAUGAAUUGACGGGGGCCCGCACAAGCGGUGGAGCAUGUGGUUUAAUUCGAUGCAACGCGAAGAACCUUACCUGGCCUUGACAUAGUAAGAACUUUCCAGAGAUGGAUUGGUGCCUUCGGGAACUUACAUACAGGUGCUGCAUGGCUGUCGUCAGCUCGUGUCGUGAGAUGUUGGGUUAAGUCCCGCAACGAGCGCAACCCUUUUCCUUAUUUGCCAGCGAGUAAUGUCGGGAACUUUAAGGAUACUGCCAGUGACAAACUGGAGGAAGGCGGGGACGACGUCAAGUCAUCAUGGCCCUUACGGCCAGGGCUACACACGUGCUACAAUGGUCGGUACAAAGGGUUGCUACCUAGCGAUAGGAUGCUAAUCUCAAAAAGCCGAUCGUAGUCCGGAUUGGAGUCUGCAACUCGACUCCAUGAAGUCGGAAUCGCUAGUAAUC